GAUGAACGCUGGCGGCGUGCCUAAUACAUGCAAGUCGAGCGAACAGACGAGGAUCUUGCUCUUCUGACGAUAGCGGCGGACGGGUGAGUAACACGUGGAUAACCUACCUAUAAGACUGGGAUAACUUCGGGAAACCGGAGCUAAUACCGGAUAAUAUAUUUAACCGCAUGGUUUCAUAGUGAAAGACGGUUUUGCUGUCACUUAUAGAUGGAUCCGCGCCGCAUUAGCUAGUUGGUAAGGUCACGGCUUACCAAGGCAACGAUGCGUAGCCGACCUGAGAGGGUGAUCGGACACACUGGAACUGAGACACGGUCCAGACUCCUACGGGAGGCAGCAGUAGGGAAUCGUCCGCAAUGGGAGAAAGCCUGACGGAGCAACGCCGCGUGAGUGAUGAAGGUCUUCGGAUCGUAAAACUCUGUUAUUAGGGAAGAACAAAUGUGUAAGUAACGAUGCACGUCUUGACGGUACCUAAUCAGAAAGCCACGGCUAACUACGUG
rnacentral:rRNA from 1 species